CUAAGUUUCAACAACGGAUCUCUUGGCUCUCGCAUAAAUGCUAUAAGUAAUGUGAAUUGCAAAAUUCAGUGAAUCAUCGAAUCUUUGAACGCAC
rnacentral:rRNA from 1 species